GUGGGGAAUCUUCCGCAAUGGACGAAAGUCUGACGGAGCAACGCCGCGUGAGUGAUGAAGGUCUUCGGAUUGUAAAGCUCUGUUAAUCGGGACGAAAGAGCCUAGUGUGAAUAAUGCUAGGAAGUGACGGUACCGGAAUAGAAAGCCACGGCUAACUACGUACCAGCAGCCGCGGUAAUACGUAGGUGGCAAGCGUUGUCCGGAAUUAUUGGGCGUAAAGCGCGCGCAGGCGGAUCUGCCAGUCUGUCUUAAAAGUUCGGGGCUUAACCCCGUGAUGGGAUGGAAACUACAGAUCUAGAGUAUCGGAGAGGAAAGUGGAAUUCCUAGUGUAGCGGUGAAAUGCGUAGAUAUUAGGAAGAACACCAGUGGCGAAGGCGACUUUCUGGACGAAAACUGACGCUGAGGCGCGAAAGCCAGGGGAGCGAACGGGAUUAGAUACCCUGGUAGUCC
rnacentral:rRNA from 1 species